AGCGGGAAGGAGUGGCCGGU
rnacentral:miRNA from 1 species